AUUGAACGCUGGCGGCAGGCUUAACACAUGCAAGUCGAGCGGAGAUGAGGUGCUUGCACCUUAUCUUAGCGGCGGACGGGUGAGUAAUGCUUAGGAAUCUGCCUAUUAGUGGGGGACAACAUUCCGAAAGGAAUGCUAAUACCGCAUACGUCCUACGGGAGAAAGCAGGGGAUCUUCGGACCUUGCGCUAAUAGAUGAGCCUAAGUCGGAUUAGCUAGUUGGUGGGGUAAAGGCCUACCAAGGCGACGAGCUGUAGCGGGUCUGAGAGGAUGCUCCGCCACACUGGGACUGAGACACGGCCCAGACUCCUACGGGAGGCAGCAGUGGGGAAUAUUGGACAAUGGGGGGAACCCUGAUCCAGCCAUGCCGCGUGUGUGAAGAAGGCCUUAUGGUUGUAAAGCACUUUAAGCGAGGAGGAGGCUACUGAGACUAAUACUCUUGGAUAGUGGACGUUACUCGCAGAAUAAGCACCGGCUAACUCUGUGCCAGCCGCCGCGGUAAAAC
rnacentral:rRNA from 1 species